AUUGAACGCUGGCGGCAUGAUUUACACAUGCAAGUCGAACGGUAACAGGCCGCAAGGUUCUGACGAGUGGCGAACGGGUGAGUAAUGCAUCGGAACGUGCCCAGUCGUGGGGGAUAACUACUCGAAAGAGUAGCUAAUACCGCAUACGAUCUAUGGAUGAAAGCGGGGGACCGUAAGGCCUCGCGCGAUUGGAGCGGCCGAUGUCAGAUUAGGUAGUUGGUGGGGUAAAGGCUCACCAAGCCAACGAUCUGUAGCUGGUCUGAGAGGACGACCAGCCACACUGGGACUGAGACACGGCCCAGACUCCUACGGGAGGCAGCAGUGGGGAAUUUUGGACAAUGGGCGCAAGCCUGAUCCAGCAAUGCCGCGUGCAGGAAGAAGGCCUUCGGGUUGUAAACUGCUUUUGUACGGAACGAAACGGCUCUGGUUAAUACCCGGGGCUAAUGACGGUACCGUAAGAAUAAGCACCGGCUAACUACGUG
rnacentral:rRNA from 1 species